UCAAGAACAUUUCUCUCUCUAUACCUCACACUCUCCAUUUUUCCUUUGCCUUCUCUCUACCUUUUCUUUCAACUGUUAGAAUUUUGAUUCGUAGACGCCUAAACAAUCCUGACGCCGAGAGCUUCAAUUGACACCGAUCGAUUUCAGGAUUCCUAGUUGUAGUUGCUAUUCACUGUUCUUCGCUAUUUUGGAACCCUAGACCAUGCAAUCUGCUGGUUACAUGUGUCUUUUAUUUUUUUUCUCCAAUCCCUGUCCAAUUCUAGCUCUAAGCGUUGUUCUUGAUCACCGCAUUGCGGGUUAUAGGGUGUUGUCUCGAUUAUUCGCAUGUGGGGUACUGUAGCUGCGGGUCUUUGAGUUGAGCAAAGAAGUUUCAAGGUAUGGGGAGCUAUUUAGUAUGUUUAAUUGUGUGUGUGAUGAAUGGUAUGUUUCUCGCUAUUCCUUUCUAGUCAUAUGGGUAUUGAUGAUUUGAGUACGAAAUAAUUGUUGAAUUGAUGUUGAAUCGUUUUGGGUAAUUGAGUAUAUUAUGAUAUACUAGAUUCUAGAAUACUGUAUACAUAUUGGCAUGUGCUUUUGUGUUUACGGAAUAUACAAAUUGGGGUGAGAAAUAGGUAAUUUGAUGUUUGGACUGUUAUACGGUAUGAGAAGAUGAUAGUUCUCCUCUAUUUUCUGUUUGAAUAGUAGUAAAAUAUAAUAAUACAUGGAUCUCCUGUUUUGUAACUGUUUAUGGGAUUAGUGUAAUAUGGUAAUAUUUUAUAUGUAUAGUUCCUCUUAAAUGGAAAGAAGAAUAUGAUAAUUGUUGAUGGAUACGGAUAUAUAAUGGGUUAUCUUUGAAAGUUGGUAAUUAUAGUAGACUUAAGAAUGUGUUGAAAAAUUGUGUAUGCAUCGUGGUGUUUUGUUAUUCUGAAUUGGAAUGGCAGUAGGAGUUUGGAAUGUAUGAAAUCAAUAAUCGUACUUAAAUAAGUGUAUAGGAUAGAAUUGGUUUUAUCAAUUUAGAGGUUUAGGUAUUAUAAGAAAGAUUGGGUUAAGAAAUAAGUUUAAAGUUACAGUAUUAUGUUUAAUGGAAAUAAAAUUGGCAGUGUGUUAAAGACGUAAUGGUAUUCAUAGGUGUUUAGAAAUGUUUAUUGCAUUUGUUAUAUAUAUAUAUAUAUAUAUAUAUAUAUAUAUAUAUAUAUAUAUAUAUAUAUAUAUAUAUAUAUAGGGGUUUGUUAACUUGUGUACGCCUGUUUUUUAAUUGGUACAUUUUAGCAAUGUGUACCAGAUUUCAAUAGACAAAAAUAUCUUUAUAUAUCAUAAAUUCUAUGUUUUAAGAUUAAGAAUAUUUUAAUAAUUUUCAUUCUCAAAGUUAAAAAAAUAAAGAAAAGAAACCCCACAAACCCUUAUCCACCUCUCUCAUUCCUCUCAACCCUCUCUCUUUCAUCUCUUUCACUCCAACCUUUUCUCUAUCAUCUUACUCUAGCCCCAAUUGAAAAAAAAAUCAGAAACACUUGCCUUAUUUUAAUAAUUUUCAUUCUCAAAACUAAAAAAAGAAACCUCAAACCCUUACUCACCUCCUUCAUUCCUCUCAACCCUUUUUUCCUUCAUCUCUCUCACUCAAACAUUUUCUCUGUCAUCUCUGCACUAACCUCAACUAAGAAAACACUAAUCAUUAAACGAUUUACUUUUGUAAAGAGUUGAGUCAUUGACAUAUUCACCUUCUGAAAAAAGUUCAUUCAAAAUCACUUUAAUUUCAUUAUCUUCAUUAUAUAUAUUACAGCUUACGGGCACAACUUGCACCAAGACUUAUGAGCAUCAUUCCUUUACAUUUUGAGACUACUACGUAACAUUGCUCCGUGGUCAUUUAUUUUUUUCUUUUGUAGAAAUUCAUUAACUUGUUUUUCUUUACUAAAGAAAAAACAAAUACAAUAAAAUUCUCAACGAUAAAAUCAAAUAAUAAAAAUUCUAAAUAUUGAAAUUUUAUUUAAAAUUAUAUAAAGAAAAAAUUAGGUGCUUCAAUUUUUUUUAUUUAUGUAAGUAUUUUUUUUCUCUAACCAUUUUAUUUAAUAAUGAGUGUUUCUUUAGUUGGGGCUAGUCAGAGAUGACAGAGAAAAUGUUUGAGUGAAAGUGAUGAAGAUGAAAGGAUUGAGAGAAAAUGAGAAAAUGUUUGAGCAAAAGAGAUGAAGGAGAAAUGAUUGAGAGGAAUGAAGGAGGUGAGUAAGGAUUUGAGGGUUUUUUUUUUUUUAGUUUUGAGAAUGAAAAUUAUUAAAAUAAGGCAAGUGUUUCUGAUUUUUUUUUUUUCAAUUGGGGAUGACAGAGAAAAGGUUGGAGGGAAAGAGAUGAAAGAAAAAGGGUUGAGAGAAAUGAGAGAGGCGAGUAAGGGUUUGAGGGUUUUUUUUUUUUUUUUUAAUUUUGAGAAUGAAAAUUAUUAAAAUACCCUUAACCUUAAAACUUAGAAUUCAUGAUAUAAGGAUAUUUUUGUCUACUGAAACCCGGUACACAUUGCUAAAAUGUACCAACUGAAAAACAGGCAUACGCAAGUUAACAAACCCUAUAUAUAUAUAUAUAUAUAUAUUUGUGAACACUUAUAAGAGUAAUAUAUAUAAUAUUAUUAAAUGGAAUUAAAAAGUUAAAAAUUUUGGUUAAUAGAAAAUAUGUGCAAGGAUUACUUUUAAUAUUAAAAACUUGAUAUUGAAAUAAGAAUGGGGUAUUGUUUUUUUGUUCAGCUGUUUCAUAACCUUUAGAAUUAAAAUUAUCUUUUAUAGAAUUAUUUUGUAACUUCAUAUAUUAUAUAGUAUAGAUUUAUAUAUAUAAUAGAAUGUGACGUAACUUUAUAAAUUAUAUAUAUAUAUAUAUAUAUAUAUAUAUAUAUAUAAUAUUUUGGGUUGGUUUUUUAUUUUGAAAAUAUAUUUUGGGGGCAGGUCUAAAAAAAAUGGUUUAGCUUAUAUGAUGUUUGAUGUUGUUUGAUUGUUUUGGUGAAUGUAUGUUUAUAUACUUGAAUUGAAUGACGGGAUUAAAGAUGAACUGAACAUUCCAGGGAGAGAUGAUUGAGAAAGAUUGUAGAGAUAAUGUUGUUGUCUGUAUAAUGUUAGGAGCUUUGAAAUGGUAUGUCUAUCCCUACACCUAAAGCAUUGUUCAUACUCAAAUAGAGAAGAACAAUGUGAGUGGUGAGAGUAGAGGGAAGUCUUCGUCUAUAGUCUUAGAAUUUAGACAUAGACAAAUUGGAGGAUUUUACCUUGCAUAGUGUUGGGGAUGGGCCAACUGAACUAUGCAAGUGCAGAGACGACCAAUAGCUAGACAGUUAUACAAAAUCCGGAUGAGUCGUGUUGAGUAUUUGAUGCAUGUUUUGAAUGGUAUGUCUUGCUUGUUCGUUUUAUAUGUAAUUAAGCAUGAUGACAUUGAUUGACUGUACUAUAUGUAUGUGGUUUGUUUAUCUAGCUCACCUUUACUUUUGUGUUGUAUGUUGCUUGGGUAUGCUUUCUCUUGCGAUGAUCAUCCACUUAGAUAAGAGUAAAUGUCGUUGAGGAGGUUCCAUUGGAGCAAGAGUUGGAGGACACUGAUGUUACGACUUAGUCCUCCCUAGGAUUUCUUCCUUUUACCUGAUGUCAUUUUGGAAUACUCUUAUCUUUUGUACCAUUUUGUUGUACUCUUUAUGUCUAAGUUUUAGGUUUAGAUCUCUUUUACUUGAAAUUCAAACUCUUGAGUUAUAUUUGGAUGAUUG
rnacentral:lncRNA from 1 species